rnacentral:rRNA from 1 species
AGUUUGAUCGAUGGCUCAGAGUGAACGCUGGCGGCAGGCCUAAUACAUGCAAGUCGAACGGCAGCACAGCAGAGCUUGCUCGUGUGGGUGGCGAGUGGCGGACGGGUGAGGAAUACAUGGGAAUCUGCCCAGUCGUGGGGGAUAACGUAGGGAAACUUACGCUAAUACCGCAUGCGCCCUUCGGGGGGAAAGCCGGGGGACCUUCGGGCCUGGCGCGAUUGGAUGAGCCCAUGUCGGAUUAGCUAGUUGGCGGGGUAAUGGCCCACCAAGGCGACGAUCCGUAGCUGGGUCUGAGAGGAUGAUCAGCCACACUGGAACUGAGACACGGUCCAGACUCCUACGGGAGGCAGCAGUAGGGAAUAUUGGACAAUGGGCGCAAGCCUGAUCCAGCCAUGCCGCGUGAGUGAAGAAGGCCCUCGGGUUGUAAAGCUCUUUUGUCCGGAAAGAAAAGCGCCGGGUUAAUACCCUGGUGUCCUGACGGUACCGGAAGAAUAAGCACCGGCUAACUUCGUG